UACGAAGGGGGCUAGCGUUGCUCGGAAUCACUGGGCGUAAAGCGCACGUAGGCGGAUUGCUAAGUCAGGGGUGAAAUCCUGGAGCUCAACUCCAGAACUGCCUUUGAUACUGGCGACCUUGAGUCCGGGAGAGGUGAGUGGAACUGCGAGUGUAGAGGUGAAAUCGUAGAUAUUCGCAAGAACACCAGUGGCGAAGGCGGCUCACUGGCCCGGGUACUGACGCUGAGGUGCGAAAGCGUGGGGAGCAAACAGG
rnacentral:rRNA from 1 species